rnacentral:rRNA from 1 species
UACUGACGCUGAGGUACGAAAGCAUGGGGAGCAAACAGGAUUAGAUACCCUGGUAGUCCAUGCCGUAAACGAUGUCUACUAGCCGUUGGGGCCUUUGAGGCUUUAGUGGCGCAGCUAACGCGAUAAGUAGACCGCCUGGGGAGUACGGUCGCAAGACUAAAACUCAAAUGAAUUGACGGGGGCCCGCACAAGCGGUGGAGCAUGUGGUUUAAUUCGAUGCAACGCGAAGAACCUUACCUGGCCUUGACAUACUAGAAACUUUCCAGAGAUGGAUUGGUGCCUUCGGGAAUCUAGAUACAGGUGCUGCAUGGCUGUCGUCAGCUCGUGUCGUGAGAUGUUGGGUUAAGUCCCGCAGCGAGCGCAACCCUUUUCCUUACUUGCCAGCAUUUCGGAUGGGAACUUUAAGGAUACUGCCAGUGACAAACUGGAGGAAGGCGGGGACGACGUCAAGUCAUCAUGGCCCUUACGGCCAGGGCUACACACGUGCUACAAUGGUCGGUACA